rnacentral:rRNA from 1 species
UUGGCGGCAAGAUAGCCCCUUAGAGGAACCUGCCCUGUAAACGAUGAACCACGAGUACCCUACUUCUUUUAGUAAAUCAGUUUGUAUAUCGCUGUUGUCAGUUAGAUUUUAGAGAAUAUUUUCGUUUAUGAUAAAUUCAUUGACUUCAAGUAAAGGUGCAGCUUAUAGAGAAGAUAGAGGUGGGUUACAUUUAAAAGAUUAAAACGGAUAAGAUUUAUGAAAUGAUCUUUGAAGGUGGAUUUAACUGUAAAACUAACGAAAGUUUGGUGAGAGCUCUAUCUUGUGUACACA